AAGUGAGCUUGACCUCUGCCUGCGUUACUUUCUGAUCGGAUGUUUCCAAUAUGGCUUCAUUCGCUCAGCAUAAGCCAGCUGGAUCGAGAAGGUCACACCAAGGUUUUCACUACAGGGGAAUGGAGACGCUUUUGACCUGUCAGCUGAAGAUAGGUUCUGAGUGGGUACAAAAAAGGCACGGCAGUCUUCUUAAAUGGAAUCUUUCCAUGCUGAAACUCAGUGGACUCGACCCCUGCGGACCGAGAGCUGAAGGCAGCAGUAAUUGGUGGCAGCCUGGGAGGGAGGAG